rnacentral:rRNA from 1 species
GAUGAAGAUGAUGAACCGAUGCAAGCUGAUUUGGACGCACUCGAACAUGAUCCUGGAAAGCUGAUUCCCAUCUUAGUGUAUGCUGUCAAUGACCAAGAUAGAGUAAGAAGGAGAUAUAUUAAGAUGGGGUCAUGUCAACCAAAGAAUCAUAAGUUCAAGAUUACAAAUAAAAGUGGAAAAGAGCGUCGCUUUUGACGUGAUUGGUUUAAAGAAUUUCCAUGGAUUGAGUAUAGUGUGGAAAAACAUAGAGCUUUCUGCUUUGUUUGCUAUUUGUUCAAGGAUAAAACAAGAUGUCCCGGUGGAGAUGCUUUUGUGAAGAAGGGAUUUAAUAACUGGAACAUGAAGUCGAGAUUGAAGAAACAAGAAGGUGAGGUUAGUAGUGCUCAUGUUGAAGCUCAAGAGAAGUAUGAUAGGUUCACUACACCACAAACAUCAAUUCGGGAGUCUAUUGCUUCAAACACUUCAUAAUACAAGGCUUUGUAUAAACAGCGUUUGACAUGGACACUCAAGUGUGUGAGAUUUCUAUUGCGCCAAGGCUUGGCAUUUAGAGGACAUGAUGAAAGUGAAGACUCACUAAAUAAAGUAAAUUUCCUUGAGCUUCUAAAUUGGCUAGCAGGAAAUUUUGAAGAGGUUGAUAGGGUUGUUCUCAAGAAUGCUCCACAGAACUACAAGAUGACUCACCAUGAUAUACAACACGAGGUGAUAAAAUGUUGUGCACAAGAGACUACAAAACUAGUCAUUGAAGAACUUGAUGGUGGUCAUUUUGCAAUACUUGCAGAUGAGUCUAGUGAUGUGUAUCAGAAUAAGUUGGUUGUUUGCUUGCAUUAUGUUGAUAAUAAAGGAAGGGCGGUUGUAAGAUUUCUUGGUCUUGCUCAUGUUGAAGAUACUACCUCUUUGACACUAAAAGCUGCAAUUCAGAAAAUGCUUAUGGAAUACAAUUUGACCUUUGCAAUGUAUGUUCAUUGUUUUGCCCAUCAACUACAGUUAACUCUUGUUGCUAUUGCUAAGGAGAGUGGUGAUUGUACUUGGUUCUUUCAACAGCUUGCACACUUGUUAAAUGCUCUUGGCAUGUCUUGUAAAAAGAUGAGAAUGCUUCGGAUAGCUCAGGCUGAAGAACUCAUUGAUGCAUUGGAAUUGGAAGAAGUAGAAACAGGGAGUGGGCUGAAUCAGGAAAUGGGUUUGGGAAGGCCAUGUGAUACACGUUGGGGCUCUCACUUUAAAACUGUGAACCAUGUCAUCUCUAUGCAUGGUGCACUAUGACGAGUCCUUCGCAAGAUUGGAGACGAGUACCAUGGUGCGGAGGCACAAGCGGCUCUAUCCAUAGAGACAAUAUUUCGAUCAUUUGACUUUGUUUUCAUGGCACACUUGAUGCAAGAAAUAUUUGGAUACACAGAUGAGUUGUGUAGAGCUCUGCAAAAGCAAGACGAAGAUAUUGUUCAUGCUAUUGAGCUUGUUGCUGACACAAAGUAUUACUUGGAGGCUUUGAGGACCGAUGCUGGAUGGGAUGAUUUUCUCACAAAGGUGACAUCUUUUUGUACGAAGCAUAAGAUCAAAGUUGUUGAUAUGGAGGGUCCUUACUUUCCCAUUGGCCGUCCUAGAAGGGGUUUAUGUAAUGGUCCGACCAAUUAUCACCGCUUCAAGGUUGAUAUGUUUGUGGGUGUCAUUGAUAGGCAAAUCAGUGAGCUGAAUGGCAGAUUUGAUGAGGUAAACACGGAGCUACUUUCUUGCAUGGCAGCAUUUUGUCCACUUCAUCUAUUUGCUGCUUAUGACCAAGAGAAAUUAGUUAGGCUUGCUACAAAGUUUUAUGCUUCUGAUUUUACAAGGGAUGAACUGGUAAGACUUCCAUGGCAACUAAACAUGUAUGUUACUAAUUUGAUUCUGCCAGUAGCUACUGCUAGUGUUGAAAGGGUAUUCUCUUCAAUGAGCCAUGUGAAAAAUAAGCGAAGGAGCAAAAUGGGUGAUGAAUAUUUGAACAAUUGUUUGGUUACAUUUGUUGAGAGAGAACUUUUCAAUCAAGUGAAGGAUGAAGAUGUCAUCAAUCUCUUCCAAAAAGGCGACCGCAAAGUUAUAUGGUAA